UUAUAACAUCAGGAGCGGUUUCAUAGCAGAAACCCGCCAACCGACCCAUGUGGGCACGGUGGUUUGAUCCUUAAACGGUAGAUGUGCCUCACAAGAGGAAUCUUAAAGCCGCCUGA
rnacentral:ncRNA from 1 species